CCUACGGGAGGCAGCAGUGGGGAAUAUUGGGCAAUGGGCGCAAGCCUGACCCAGCAACGCCGCGUGAAGGAAGAAGGCUUUCGGGUUGUAAACCUCUUUUCUCAGGGACGAAGAAAGUGACGGUACAUGAGGAAUAAGCCACGGCUAACUACGUGCCAGCAGCCGCGGCAAUACGUAGGUGGCACGCGUUAUCCGGAUUUGUUGGGUGUAAAGGGCGUGUAGGCGGGAGCGCAAGUCAGAUGUGAAAACUCAGGGCUCAACCCUGAGCCUGCAUUUGAAACUGUGUUUCUUGAGUGCUGGAGAGGCGAUCGGAAUUCCGUGUGUAGCGGUGAAAUGCGUAGAUAUACGGAGGAACACCAGUGGCGAAGGCGGAUUGCUGGACAGUAACUGACGCUGAGGCGCGAAAGCGUGGGGAGCGAACAGGAUUAGAUACCCGGGUAGUC
rnacentral:rRNA from 1 species